UACGGUUACCUUGUUACGACUUCACCCCAGUCAUCGACCACACCGUGGUAAUCGCCCUCCUUGCGGUUAGGCUAACUACUUCUGGUGCAGUAAACUCCCAUGGUGUGACGGGCGGUGUGUACAAGGCCCGGGAACGUAUUCACCGCGGCAUUCUGAUCCGCGAUUACUAGCGAUUCCGACUUCAUGCAGUCGAGUUGCGGACUGCAAUCCGGACUAAGAUCGGCUUUUUGAGAUUGGCGCCCCCUCGCGGGAUUGCAACCCUCUGUACCGACCAUUGUAGCACGUGUGUAGCCCUGGCCAUAAGGGCCAUGAUGACUUGACGUCGUCCCCGCCUUCCUUCGGUUUGUCACCGGCAGUCUACCUAGAGUUCCCACCUUUACGUGCUGGCAACUAGGUACAAGGGUUGCGCUCGUUGCGGGACUUAACCCAACAUCUCACGACACGAGCUGACGACAGCCAUGCAGCACCUGUCUCAGAAUUCCCGAAGGCACUCCCGCAUCUCUGCAGGAUUCUCUGGAUGUCAAGGCCAGGUAAGGUUCUUCGCGUUGCAUCGAAUUAAACCACAUGCUCCACCGCUUGUGCGGGCCCCCGUCAAUUCAUUUGAGUUUUAACCUUGCGGCCGUACUCCCCAGGCGGUCGACUUAACGCGUUAGCUGCGCCACUAAAUCCUCAAGGAACCCAGCGGCUAGUCGACAUCGUUUACGGCGUGGACUACCAGGGUAUCUAAUCCUGUUUGCUCCCCACGCUUUCGCACCUCAGCGUCAGUAUCAGGCCAGGAGGCUGCCUUCGCCAUCGAUGUUCCUCCGGAUAUCUACGCAUUUCACCGCUACACCCGGAAUUCCACCUCCCUCUCCCGUACUCUAGUUAUGCAGUUUUAGAGGCAGUUCCCAGGUUAAGCCCGGGGAUUUCACCUCUAACUUACACAACCGCCUACGCGCGCUUUACGCCCAGUAAUUCCGAUUAACGCUCGCACCCUCUGUAUUACCGCGGCUGCUGGCACAGAGUUAGCCGGUGCUUAUUCUGUGGGUAACGUCAAUCGUCAAGGUUAUUAACCUUAACGCCUUCCUCCCCACCUAAAGGGCUUUACAACCCGAAGGCCUUCUUCACCCACGCGGCAUGGCUGGAUCAGGGUUGCCCCCAUUGUCCAAUAUUCCCCACUGCUGCCUCCCGUAGGAGUCUGGACCGUGUUUCAGUUCCAGUGUGUCCGUGCGCCCUCUCAGGCCGGAUACAGAUCAUCGUCUUGGUGGGCCAUUACCCCGCCAACUAACUAAUCUGCCGCGAACUCCUCUUCAAGCGCAUUGCUGCUUUGACCCGUAGGUAUUAUGCGGUAUUAGCUAAGAUUUCUCUCAGUUAUUCCCCACUCGAAGGUAGAUGAUUCACGUGUUACUCACCCGUGCGCCACUGUACUCAGGUAUUGCUACCCUUUCUCGUGCGACUUGCAUGUGUUAGGCACGCCGCCAGCGUUGAUUCUGAGCCAUGAUCAAACUCUAAUCACUAGUGAAUUCGCGGCCGCCUGCAGGUCGACCAUAUGGGAGAGCUCCCAACGCGUUGGAUGCAUAGCUUGAGUAUUCUAUAGUGUCACCUAAAUAGCUGGCGUAAUCC
rnacentral:rRNA from 1 species